rnacentral:rRNA from 1 species
CCUACGGGAGGCAGCAGUGGGGAAUAUUGGGCAAUGGAGGCAACUCUGACCCAGCAACGCCGCGUGAAUGAUGAAGGUCUUCGGAUUGUAAAGUUCUUUUCUCAGGGAAGAAGAACGUGACGGUCCCUUAUAACUACGCCUCGGCUAACUACGUGCCAGCAGCCGCGGUAAUACGUAGGAGGCAAGCGUUAUCCGGAAGGACUGGGCGUAAAGGGGGCGUAGGUGGUUUGACAAGUUAGUAGCGCAACUCCGGAGCCCAACUUCGGAACUACUACUAAAACUUUUGGACUGGAGUGCAGGAGGGGCAAUCGGAAUUCCUAGUGUAGCGGUGGAAUGCGUAGAUAUUAGGAGGAACACCAGUGGCGAAGGCGGAUUGCUAGACUGUAACUGACACUGAGGCACGAAAGCGUGGGGAGCAAACAGGAUUAGAUACCCUUGUAGUC